GUGAACGCUGGCGGUAGGCCUAACACAUGCAAGUCGAACGGCAGCACAGUAAGAGCUUGCUCUUACGGGUGGCGAGUGGCGGACGGGUGAGGAAUACAUCGGAAUCUACUUUUUCGUGGGGGAUAACGUAGGGAAACUUACGCUAAUACCGCAUACGACCUACGGGUGAAAGCAGGGGAUCUUCGGACCUUGCGCGAUUGAAUGAGCCGAUGUCGGAUUAGCUAGUUGGCGGGGUAAAGGCCCACCAAGGCGACGAUCCGUAGCUGGUCUGAGAGGAUGAUCAGCCACACUGGAACUGAGACACGGUCCAGACUCCUACGGGAGGCAGCAGUGGGGAAUAUUGGACAAUGGGAGCAAGCCUGAUCCAGCCAUACCGCGUGGGUGAAGAAGGCCUUCGGGUUGUAAAGCCCUUUUGUUGGGAAAGAAAAGCAGCAGGUUAAUACCCCGCUGUUCUGACGGUACCCAAAGAAUAAGCACCGGCUAACUUCGUG
rnacentral:rRNA from 1 species